rnacentral:lncRNA from 1 species
ACCAGCUUUGGAGUGAUCCUUCCUCCGAAUCUUUCAACACAACUUCCGAAACUCCCUUAAACAAACUUGCUCAACCCUUUUGUUCUUCAAACUUUGUUUAAGGUGCUGGUUUAGAUUGUGAAAGAUUCAAAGAUAUUUCCGGCCAAGUUAGCCAAAAAUCUGGGAUUCCAGACUUAGGAUUUUUAAGGCACCAGGGGUGAGUUGACUGGUUUAC